UGAUAUUGGGCAAUGGGCGCAAGCCUGACCCAGCAACGCCGCGUGAGGGAAGAAUGUCUUCGGGUUUUAAACCUUUGUCCUUGUGGUAUAAAAAAAUGUCGGUACCCAACGACUAUGCUCCUGCUACAUACUUGCCAACAGCCGCGGUAAUACGUAGGGAGCGAGCGUUGUCCGGAAUUACUGGGCGUAAAGGGUGCGUAGGCGGCUAGGCAAGUCAGAGGUGAAAUCCCCGGGCUUAAAUCGGGUGGUGCAUUUGAAACUGCUUAGCUUGAGUGCAGGAGAGGAAAGAGGAAUUCCUAGUGUAGCGGUGAAAUGCGUAGAUAUUAGGAGGAACACCAGUGGCGAAGGCGGCUUUCUGGACUGUAACUGACGCUGAGGCACGAAAGCGUGGGGAGCAAACA
rnacentral:rRNA from 1 species